GACGAACGCUGGCGGCGUGCCUAACACAUGCAAGUCGAGCGAGUGAAUCUCCUUCGGGAGUGAAGCUAGCGGCGGACGGGUGAGUAACACGUGGGCAACCUGCCUCAUAGAGGGGAAUAGCCUUUCGAAAGGAAGAUUAAUACCGCAUAAGAUUGUAGCUUCGCAUGAAGUAGCAAUUAAAGGAGCAAUCCGCUAUGAGAUGGGCCCGCGGCGCAUUAGCUAGUUGGUGAGGUAACGGCGCACCAAGGCGACGAUGCGUAGCCGACCUGAGGGGGUGAUCGGCCACAUUGGGACUGAGACACGGCCCAGACUCCUACGGGGGGCAGCAGUGGGGAAUAUUGCACAAUGGGGGAAACCCUGAUGCAGCAACGCCGCGUGAGUGAUGACGGCCUUCGGGUUGUAAAGCUCUGUCUUCAGGGACGAUAAUGACGGUACCUGAGGAGGAAGCCACGGCUAACUACGUGCCAGCCGCCGCAGUAA
rnacentral:rRNA from 1 species